rnacentral:lncRNA from 1 species
UUUCCUUUUUUUUCUUUUCUUUUUCUUUUCUUUUCCUUCUUCUUUUCUUCUUUUUCCGUGGAUUUCUUUUGGGCCGAAACAGGGACCGUGAGGUCCCCUCGUUGGUGUUCCGACCAGCGGCGCAGUCAGCGUGGGGCGGCUGUCGGCAGGAGGAGAGCGACCCAACGAUGAGAAGAGGGCCAAAACCGGUGGUCGGCGGUGACCACUGACGUCAGAAAAACGGCAAAAAGAAAGGUUCUUCCGCAACAAAAUCCGGCGACUCCGGUCGCCGACGAGCGUGCACAUCGGCACGAGAAGGAAAGGGGAGAAGAGAGGAAGGGGAGGAGGCUUACCUCCGACGCCGGCGAAGCUUUUCCGGCAAGCAAUUGGACGGGCACAGGGACGGUCUUCCGCGGGAAUUUUUCGGUGAUUGCCGCCGACUGGACUUAGAAUCCUCGGUGGAAGGAAGAGAGGAGGGAUCUCCUCCUUAAAUAGAGCCAGAGGGAGCUCGUCUCCGACUCCGAUUGGGAGCCGACGAGAGGAGGAAGAAGACUCCUCUCCCCUAUUUCCUUUUUUUUUUUUUGGGCUUUGUUACAUGGGCUGGGAUUCUCACUCGGGUUGGGCCAUCACAUUCUUCCCCUCUAAAAGAAAUUUCGUCCUCGAAAUUUUCUUGCUUGAGUCUUCAUAGUUUCUUACUUGAAUCUCAUCCAUAAAUAUUUUAAUAUUCUAAUUCUUGAUAUGAAUUCAUUCUUAAAUCAUUUCAUAAGGAAAAAAUCAAUACAUCAAAUAUUGAUCUGAAAUGGAACAAUUUAUUUUCUUAUUUAUCAAAACCAACGUCUCAAAGAUUUUCAAUAUUUCAAGAUUUCGAAAUUAUGAUCUCAUUUUCUGUAAAAAUUAAUAUUCAAUAUCUCAUGACUCAAAUUAAAAUCAAAUCUACC